rnacentral:rRNA from 1 species
CCUACGGGAGGCUGCAUUGGGGAAUAUUGGACAAUGGGGUGAACCCUGAUCCAGCCAUGCCGCGUGUGUGAAGAAGGCCCUCGGGUUGUAAAGCACUUUCAGUGAGGAAGAACGCCUGGUGGUUAAUACCCAUCAGGAAAGACAUCACUCACAGAAGAAGCACCGGCUAACUCCGUGCCAGCAGCCGCGGUAAUACGGAGGGUGCGAGCGUUAAUCGGAAUUACUGGGCGUAAAGCGCGCGUAGGUGGCUUGAUAAGCCGGUUGUGAAAGCCCCGGGCUCAACCUGGGAACGGCAUCCGGAACUGUCAAGCUAGAGUGCAGGAGAGGAAGGUAGAAUUCCCGGUGUAGCGGUGAAAUGCGUAGAGAUCGGGAGGAAUACCAGUGGCGAAGGCGGCCUUCUGGACUGACACUGACACUGAGGUGCGAAAGCGUGGGUAGCAAACAGGAUUAGAUACCCUAGUAGUC